GUCCACGCCCUAAACGAUGUCGACUGGUUGUUGGGGUUUGGCACUCUCAGUAACGAAGCUAACGCGUGAAGUCGACCGCCUGGGGAGUACGGCCGCAAGGUUAAAACUCAAAGGAAUUGACGGGGACCCGCACAAGCGGUGGAUUAUGUGGAUUAAUUCGAUGCAACGCGAAAAACCUUACCUACACUUGACAUGUCCGAGAGCCUGGAGAGAUCCAGGUGUGCCCGAAAGGGAAUCGGAACACAGGUGCUGCAUGGCUGUCGU
rnacentral:rRNA from 1 species